UACGGAGGGUGCAAGCGUUAUCCGGAUUCACUGGGUUUAAAGGGUGCGUAGGUGGAUUAGUAAGUCAGUGGUGAAAUCUCCGGGCUUAACCCGGAAACUGCCAUUGAUACUAUUAGUCUUGAAUACCGUGGAGGUCAGCGGAAUAUGUCAUGUAGCGGUGAAAUGCUUAGAUAUGACAUAGAACACCAAUUGCGAAGGCAGCUGGCUACACGAAUAUUGACACUGAUGCACGAAAGCGUGGGGAUCAAACAGG
rnacentral:rRNA from 1 species